ACGGGAGGCAGCAGUGAGGAAUAUUGGUCAAUGGACGGAAGUCUGAACCAGCCAAGUCGCGUGAAGGAUGAAGGCCCUACGGGUUGUAAACUUCUUUUGCAGGAGGAUAAACAGCGGGACGUGUCCCGCCUUGAAGGUAUCCUGCGAAUAAGGGUCGGCUAACUCCGUGCCAGCAGCCGCGGUAAUACGGAGGACCCGAGCGUUAUCCGGAUUUAUUGGGUUUAAAGGGUGCGCAGGCGGGCUGGUAAGUCAGCGGUGAAAUCUCCGGGCUCAACUCGGAAACUGCCGUUGAUACUGUCGGUCUUGAGUCAUGUCGAGGAUGGCGGAAUGCAGCGUGUAGCGGUGAAAUGCUUAGAUAUGCUGCAGAACUCCGAUUGCGAAGGCAGCUGUCCAGAGAUGUACUGACGCUGAGGCACGAAAGCAUGGGUAUCAAACAGGAUUAGAUACCCUGGUA
rnacentral:rRNA from 1 species